AGAGUUUGAUCAUGGCUCAGAUUGAACCUGGCGGAAUGCUUUACACAUGCAAGUCGAGCGGAGCGGGAGCUUGCUCGNNGACGAGUGGCGAACGGGUGAGUAAUAUAUCGGAACUGCCUUNNGUGGGGGAUACUGCGAAAGAUUAAAUACCGCAUACGAUCUNNGGAGAAAGUGGGGGAUCGAAGACCUCAUGCUCAUGGNGGCCGAUAUCUGAUUAGCUAGUUGGUGAGGUAAAGGCUCACCAAGGCUUCGAUNNGUAGCUGGUCUGAGAGGACGACCAGCCACACUGGGACUGAGACACGGCCCAGACUCCUACGGGAGGCAGCAGUGGGGAAUUUUGGACAAUGGGGGCAACCCUGAUCCAGCAAUGCCGCGUGAGUGAAGAAGGCCUUCGGGUUGUAAAGCUCUUUUGUCAGGGAAGAAACGGNNGUUCCUAAUACGCCCCUAUGACGGUACCUGAAGAAUAAGCACCGGCUAACUACGUGCCAGCAGCCGCGGUAAUACGUAGGGUGCAAGCGUUAAUCGGAAUUACUGGGCGUAAAGCGUGCGCAGGGAUUAAGACAGNNGUGAAAUCCCCGGGCUUAACCUGGGAAUGGCAUUUGGACUGAAUCUAGAGUGCGUCAGAGGGNNUGAAUUCCNNGUAGCAGUGAAAUGCGUAGAAUCGGAGGAACACCGAUGGCGAAGGCAGNNCCUGGGAUACACUGACGCUCAUGCACGAAAGCGUGGGGAGCAACAGGAUUAGAUACCCUAGUAGUCC
rnacentral:rRNA from 1 species